GAUGAACGCUGGCGGCGUGCCUAAUACAUGCAAGUCGAGCGAACAGACGAGGAGCUUGCUCCUUCGACGUUAGCGGCGGACGGGUGAGUAACACGUAGGUAACCUACCUAUAAGACUGGGAUAACUUCGGGAAACCGGAGCUAAUACCGGAUAAUAUUUCGAACCGCAUUGUUCGAUAGUGAAAGAUGGCUUUGCUAUCACUUAUAGAUGGACCUGCGCCGUAUUAGCUAGUUGGUAAGGUAACGGCUUACCAAGGCAACGAUACGUAGCCGACCUGAGAGGGUGAUCGGCCACACUGGAACUGAGACACGGUCCAGACUCCUACGGGAGGCAGCAGUAGGGAAUCUUCGGCAAUGGGCGAAAGCCUGACGGAGCAACGCCGCGUGAGUGAUGAAGGUCUUCGGAUCGUAAAACUCUGUUAUUAGGGAAGAACAAACGUGUAAGUAACUGUGCACGUCUCGACGGUAUCUAAUCAGAAAGCCACGGCUAACUACGUG
rnacentral:rRNA from 1 species